rnacentral:misc_RNA from 1 species
GAGCAAUUUUCCUUGUGUACAUGAACACAUAACUGGACUAUGUGAAACCCUAAACCCCCUGCUUUUCCUUUUACCAUUUUUCUCUUAAACAACUCAUGUCAGCUAUUCCCCCAACUUCUUAUUCAUUUACAUAAGCCAAAAAAGGAAAUAUACCCCCACAAUUUUGAAAACCAACUCCCCCUUUUUUAAUCUAGCACAAUUCCCAAACAACAAAAGAGGAAAAUUAAAAAAUAAAUAAAAGAAAAACAAAAUUUAAGUAGACAAAAAGGUCAUUGGAUAUAAAAUAGAUGAAUGUAGGGUGAGGAGAACGUUCAGAGAUACUACUGCCAGUUACCUUGGUUGCGGUCUAGCAGCUGGGAAUGACAGGGCUUGCCGGAGUUUUCGAUGAGAUGAUGGAUUCCCUAACAACAUAGUCUGAGACCGAGUUACCAUAUCAACCAU